GAGGGCACACGAGCGGCUUGGCGGGCAGCGGGAAGGAGAGAUGCCUCAGGUGCUGCCUGGCACUGCCAUCCCUGCUCAGAGAUUUAGCAUGGAAAGAGAAUAACCCCGUUUAAAUGGAUCCCAGGCUGCCCCCAGUCAAUGGGGAAAAUCAGGGAGAAACCGGUGAAGUUUCUGAAGUUUUAUAAUUUUUUCCAACGGCUUGGUCAGGCCAACACCAACCACAUCUGCAGAGCCCAGGUUUGUUUUUCCAUAGCAGCACCACAACAGAAUUCUGCAUGGGGCACAAAGAAGGCAAGAAGCUCUUCUCCCAGCUGUUUGGGCAAUAAUCAGAUGUGCACAGAAAUCUUGUGCAGCUGUUAGUUGGUUCAAUGGGCUGCAGCACCAGCUUACAGGAAGGAAAACAGAAACAAUAACACUAUUGCUGACAACUGAAAAGCAAAGAAGCCUGGACAGGAAAUAGCCAUUCCUGCUACAUGGAGGCCACCCAGAAUAACCUGCUCUGCCUAUCACACCAUAGCUGGCUGAUAUACAUAUUACUAGUGCUGCAUUACCUGAUACUUAGGUCACAGGACCUUUACGUCCACAAUUGCUAAAAAAAAAAAAUUAGAUUGCACAGUCUGAUUUAUUUUUCACUUAAGUUUUCCCAACUUUGCUAGAUUUCAUUUGCUCCCUGGUCACUGAAAGAAAGGAUUAGUGCAAAUGUAUUCACUGCCAAGUUACAGAAAGCAGCACUGUAGCUGUGACAUCAAAAUUAUUUCAAAGGAACAGUGCUGAUAAAUGUAAAUUCUUAACAGACUAAGGAACGAUUUUGGGGAAAUAUACAUAUACAAGCUUUGAUAUUCAAACUUAUACGAAUUGAAAAUACCUAUGAUGCUUAUGAGAAAAAAAUUCAACAAAACAGAAAACUAAGCAUCCUGUUCUCAUCAAACAUUACUGCUCUUCAAACCUGAGUCUUCAUCACAGGUAGAGGAGCUAAACAAUAUAUACCUGACAACCUACAUUGAAUAUAAGGCUCAGCUGGAGCUUGGAUCACCCAGGGCAGCACUCUGAGAUUGAGGAUGCAAGAACCAGGCUUUCCUUCUUAGAAGGCUUUCAUUGAUAAUCCCUUGCACUAAUUAAAGAUCGGUGCAUUGAUCAUCAUCACACCUUCGUCUCAACUACCUCCAACACUGCUCCAUCUGGUAAGCAUCAUCUAGCUCCAAUCUCCUCUGCAUUACUAGCUUAUACAAGUCCAAGUCAUUUAAAGUAAUUAACAUUCAUCCAACAGCUAGUAAUCAACGUAUCCUGGGUAUGUGAAGACAGACAUGUAUUUCCAAUUCUGUUUUUUAAUGCUGCUAUUAAUGCUUGAGACAAGAAGCCUGCUUACAGCUUGUGAAUGAGAUCAGCUGGUUUGAAUUUAAGCACAGUAGCAUUCAUGCCUAUGGCUGAGAACGGGUUUUGGUUAGAGAACAGAACUGCUUUGCUUCAGACAGUCACUGUGUGUUGCUGGAACAAGGAAUCUCUUAGCAGUGCUCCAAUGACUGCACAUCAGCUCUUACUAGACACACAUACCUCCA